rnacentral:rRNA from 1 species
AUUUUCCGCAAUGGGCGAAAGCCUGACGGAGCAACGCCGCGUGAAUGAAGAAGUCCUUCGGGAUGUAAAGUUCUUUCAGCAGGGACGAGUCGAAGACGGUACCUGCAGAAGAAGCAUCGGCUAACUACGUGCCAGCAGCCGCGGUAAUACGUAGGAUGCAAGCGUUGUCCGGAAUCAUUGGGCGUAAAGCGCACGUAGGCGGCUCUUUAAGUCUCUUGGUGAAAGGCUGGGGCUCAACCCCAUGCAUGCCGGGGAUACUGGGGGGCUUGAGACAGGUAGAGGCCAGCGGAAUUCCGGGUGUAGCGGUGGAAUGCGUAGAGAUCCGGAAGAACACCGGAGGCGAAGGCGGCUGGCUGGACCUGAUCUGACGCUGAGGUGCGAAAGCGUGGGGAGCGAACAGG